ensembl:lncRNA
AUGGUGAGCAAGGAGCCAAACUGCCUGCCCACCGCCAACAGCCAUAGCAACGGCAACCCGGAGAAGUCCGCCACCAUGACCGUGCGCUCCGUCCUGCUCAACCGCAACUCGCCGGACAUCGAGAGCCGCCUCAAGCGGCGCCGGAACCGCACCCAGCAGGUCCGCUUCAAGGACCUGGAUGAUGGGGACGCGUCAGGGGCCAAGCCCGAGAGACGUAGUCCUCACCCCGGCCGCAAGAGCCCUACGUUCUCCGCCACGUCCAGCUGGAGGGACGAGGUGGCCAACGGGCCGUCGCUCGUGGGGUCGGUGCGGGGUGACAUGGAGAGCACCAUUGGUGCCGUAGAGGAGUUCCUGAAGAGGGCGCCCCGCCACCCGCUGACCCCUGGCCCGACGAGGCGCAGCUGGGCCCCGCCGAGGCCCUGCUCGCUCACACUGCCCCUCCCCCGCCAGCCCUGCAUGAGCACCGCCAUCCAGACCUCGCCCAGUCUGCAGAAGCCUCACAGCCUGCCCCGCAGCCAGAGCCUCGGCAGCUCCAUCAGGGCCGACUGGGACGAGGAUGAGGAGGAAGAUUUGCUCGUCGGCAUCAUCACUCCCUUCUAUUCUCAGGAGGGGCGCCGUGCUGUUGAGCUUGGGUCUGUUGGCUCGGGCACACGUCGUCCCCAGGCGGAUCAGCCUCACUGUCCAUGCUCAAGUGAGGAUUCUGCUGCCCCCUCUGACCUGCGGGAGCAGCCCUGCUCUUGCCCCACAGUUGCCCCAAAGUCAAUACCUGGCAGGUACAGGGGCAGAAGGAGGCGCAUCAGCCGGACAGUCAGUGAUCCAGGACGGGCCGAAUCCCCGGCUGUGUCCCCGGCUCGAGCUGUAUCCCCUAGUGACCGUCUGACACGUGCAGAGUCACCCAGUAGUUCUCCUCCCCAAAAGUCACCACCUAAGAGCUCCCCAACCCAAACCGACCCGUCUACCCCUCCCUCACCUGAAAAAGCUACUUCCUGUGCCCAACCUACAGCAGCCUGCAUCCCUCACCAACAAACUGUGCCCACAUGCAUUCCGCCCACUACCCCUACUUCAGAUAAUACACCAGUUCCAUGUGUGCCGAACUCUGCGUCCUCACCACAAAAUUCUCCACCCCCUAACACUGUGCUUCCACUCAACAAUGAUUCAGCCGAUUCUUCUACUUCACCCCCCAAACCCACUCUCAUGACGCCACCUCAAAUAAUUAGUUCAGCAUUUGAAACUUUGCCACAUUGCACCAAUCUGACACAAUCUGUGCCAGCUUGCAAGACUCCCAAACAACCUGUGCCAUCUUGUCAGACUCCCACGCCGCCUGUGAACGUUAAGACACCUACACAAACCGUGCCCUCUUCCAUCCUUGAUGCUAAAUCUUUGCUAACCCCUCAAAACAAUACAGAGGCUACACCACCCACAGUUGUCCUUACACAAUCUUUGCCAACUUGUGAGACUAGACAAGCUAUCGCAUCUUGUGAAACUCCAACGAAACCUGAGAAAGUUAAGACCCCUACACAAGCUGUGCCAUCACCUUCGCCACCAUACCAAAAUCACACAGAGACAAUGCCACCUUUAAUCACCUCCAUACAAACUUUGCCAAAUGCAAAUACGGCUGUACAGCCUGCCCCAGACUACAUAACUUCUUCACAACACACAACACUUUGCAAAUCUCCUACACAGCCUGUGUAUGUUUCUAAGACUCCGUCCAAUCCUGUGUCAGGCUGUGAAACUCCUAAACAGUCUGCACCAAUCUGCAAGACCCCUACAAAAACAGAACCAGCAUCAUCUAAGACUUUCGCACAGCCUGUACCACGUUGUAAGACCCCUUCACAAACAGAACCAUCUUGUAAAAUUCCUUCACAACCAAUACCGCCUAUCCCAGUCUGUAUGACCCCAACACAAUCUUGUAAAACUGCACCUUCACUAUCAGAUUGUUCAUCUCCCCCACAACCUACAAUCCACAAGACCCCAACACAUACUGCACCUAAGACUCCUACCCACACUUUGCCACUUCCGAAGACUCAGCCUGUGCUGGAUUGUACAUCUUACACUGAAGUUGCAGGGCCUUGCAGCACCUCUGAUAAUACAGGGCCAUCCUAUCCAGCUGCGACACAGGUAUUGUUUCCCUGUAAUGCCAUUUCACAGAUGCCUCCAUGCAUUUCUGAGAGAAACCAGGCCCCAUCUUGUCCAUUAAAUGCACAGGCUCUGCCAGACUAUUUCCACACCACAUACAGUGUUCCAUCAUGUGUAGCCGCUGCCCAAUUCUUGCCCCCCUCUGCCCCUGCUACAAAUACCCUGCCAGCCUGCAUCAUCCCUGAAUCUGCUGUGCCCCCUUAUGUCACACAACAAACAAUCCAAAUCUGCUCCUCCCCUUUUAAAAUAAUCCCUCCUGGUAUUUUGCCCAACCAGACGUCGUCCCCAAAUAUUUGUGUGCGGCAGGUGGCCCUCACCCAUACUGUGACCACAGCUUCUUCCCAGCCGGCAUGCCCGGCCGACUACCUGCACCACGCGGCACCUCCCUAUGGCUCGUCCCCCAGAGCCGGCCCUGCUCCCUCUCAGGCUCCUCCCCCUUACACUACUCAGGACAGAAAGCUCCCCCCCCACCUCCGCCCCCUCCUCCCUACACACCCCGCAAGGAAGGCGCUACCGCCACGGGGCAGGCUCGCCGCCCACCCACCCCAAAGGCUGCGAGCGCCGGGAAGGAGAAGGAGAAGGUAG